rnacentral:lncRNA from 1 species
UCCUUAGAUUGAUUUUGAUGAUUACAAAGCAUUUGAAGGAGUACUAAUGAUUUUCGCUUGAAAAAGACUUAUUGCUCUUCAGGGGCAAAAUCAUAAUUUUAUCAAAUCCUAAUUUGAAAGCAUCAGGUGAUAGAACAAAAGAUUUGUGAUCCAUUGGUGAAAAUUUUAUUGUUUUUGGAUUUGUAUUUUGAAAGAUAUGCAUGUUUGAAAAACAUGAGUCGACCC